UUUCAGUUUUAUUUUACCAUUAUUUCUGAAAAUUAAACCCUAAUGAUAGCCUUAUCUAUAUAAACCCUCAAGCCCUCCAAACUCCCGUGUUACAUUGACCUUCAAAAAAAAAAAAACUUCAUCUUCUCCUUCUGCCGCCAUCACCAUCUCCCCACCUUCAGCCAUCUUUUCUGGUUGGUAAAGGUACUUGGCUACGAGUGAGGGGACGCUUAGAAUAAUCACCUAGUCAAGGGACAAUUUCUAUUUUAGUUUAAGUUGAAUUUUGUUAUUUAUUUUAUGCGGAUUAAUUGGUUGUAAUAUUUUAUUGGCCACCUUUUAGACCACUUAGUUAAUUUUGACUUUAAUGGUUUUAAAUGGUUUUGUUGCUUUGCAUUUAUUUUCUAUGGAUAAUAAAUGUAGCAGUGACACUCCCAAGGUUUGGACGAUCGAUUUAUUAAAUAAAAACAGGGAUUUUGAUUAUAUAAAA